rnacentral:hammerhead_ribozyme from 1 species
AUCCACCUGACGAGUUCGAAACAAAACGAAACACGUGUCUUGGUU